AUGGAAGCAAGCAGGGAGCAUGAGCUAGAGAAUGCCAGGAUCUGGCUUUUGUCAUUGGUUGGCUGCCGCCUGAUGGAUAGAAGAGGGAGGAGUGAACUCUCUUCAGUGUGUUCUGACGGAGCCGAAGUACAGAAACCAUAUUUACAGGUACAUGUGACAGCACUGCAGCUAUGAGUGGAAUUUUAAAGGGGAAGUUUGAAGAAGUUGACGGCUCCUCUCCCUGCUCCUCUGUACAGGAAUCAGAUGAUGAUGUUUUUAGCUGUGACAGUGCUGAGCGUGUUGAUAGUGUCAAUCCAUCCACGUCUAGUCAUUUUACCCG